CCCGGGAAACUGGGGAUAAUACCCCAUAGACUAUGGAUGCUGGAAUGCUUUGUAGUCGAAAGGUCCGCCGCCGUAGGAUGGGUCUGCGGCCGAUUAGGUUGUUGUUGGGGUAACGGCCCAACAAGCCUGUAAUCGGUACGGGUUGUGGGAGCAAGAGCCCGGAGAUGGAUUCUGAGACACGAAUCCAGGCCCUACGGGGCGCAGCAGGCGCGAAAACUUUACAAUGCGGGAAACCGUGAUAGGGGAACUCUGAGUGCCCGUUAAUCGGGCUGUCCAUCAGUUUAAAAAACUGGUGAAGAAAGGGCCGGGCAAGACCGGUGCCAGCCGCCGCGGUAAUACCGGCGGCUCGAGUGGUGGCCACUAUUACUGGGCUUAAAGCGUUCGUAGCUGGUUUGUUAAGUCUCUGGGGAAAUCUACCGGCUUAACCGGUAGGCGUCUCAGGGAUACUGGCAAACUAGGGACCGGGAGAGGUGAGGGGUACUCCAGGGGUAGGAGUGAAAUCCUGUAAUCCUUGGGGGACCACCUGUGGCGAAGGCGCCUCACCAGAACGGCUCCGACAGUGAGGGACGAAAGCUGGGGGAGCAAACCGGAUUAGAUACCCGGGUAGUCCCAGCUGUAAACGAUGCGCGUUAGGUGUAUCGGUGACCACGAGUCACCGAGGUGCCGAAGAGAAAUCGUGAAACGCGCCGCCUGGGAAGUACGGUCGCAAGGCUGAAACUUAA
rnacentral:rRNA from 1 species